GAUCAUGGCUCAGGACGAACGCUGGCGGCGCGCCUAACACAUGCAAGUCGAACGAGCGAGAGAGAGCUUGCUUUCUUGAGUGAGUGGCGAACGGGUGAGUAACGCGUGAGGAACCUGCCUCAAAGAGGGGGACAACAGUUGGAAACGACUGCUAAUACCGCAUAAGCCCACGACCCGGCAUCGGGUAGAGGGAAAAGGAGCAAUCCGCCUUGAGAUGGCCUCGCGUCCGAUUAGCUAG
rnacentral:rRNA from 1 species